rnacentral:rRNA from 1 species
CCUAUGGGUGGCUGCAGUGGGGAAUAUUGGACAAUGGGGGGAACCCUGAUCCAGCCAUGCCGCGUGUGUGAAGAAGGCCCUCGGGUUGUAAAGCACUUUCAGUGAGGAAGAACGCCUGGUGGUUAAUACCCAUCAGGAAAGACAUCACUCACAGAAGAAGCACCGGCUAACUCCGUGCCAGCAGCCGCGGUAAUACGGAGGGUGCGAGCGUUAAUCGGAAUUACUGGGCGUAAAGCGCGCGUAGGUGGCUUGAUAAGCCGGUUGUGAAAGCCCCGGGCUCAACCUGGGAACGGCAUCCGGAACUGUCAAGCUAGAGUGCAGGAGAGGAAGGUAGAAUUCCCGGUGUAGCGGUGAAAUGCGUAGAGAUCGGGAGGAAUACCAGUGGCGAAGGCGGCCUUCUGGACUGACACUGACACUGAGGUGCGAAAGCGUGGGUAGCAAACAGGAUUAGAUACCCUUGUAGUC